UACGGAGGGUGCAAACGUUGCUCGGAAUCAUUGGGCGUAAAGCGCACGUAGGCGGCCUGUUAAGUCGGAUGUGAAAGCCCCGGGCUCAACCCGGGAAGUGCAUUCGAAACUGGCGGGCUUGAAUAUGGAAGAGGGUCGCGGAAUUCCCGGUGUAGAGGUGAAAUUCGUAGAUAUCGGGAGGAACACCAGUGGCGAAGGCGGCGUCCUGGACUGGGCCUGACGCUCAGGAGCGAAAGCGUGGGGAGCGAUCCGG
rnacentral:rRNA from 1 species